rnacentral:rRNA from 1 species
AUUGAACGCUAGCGGCAGGCCUAACACAUGCAAGUCGAACGAGUGGCGGACGGGUGAGUAAUGUCUGGGAAACUGCCUGGUGGAGGGGGAUAACUACUGGAAACGGUAGCUAAUACCGCAUACCAUCGGAUGUGCCCAGAUGGGAUUAGCUAGUAGGUGGGGUAAAGGCUCACCAAGGCGACGAUCCCUAGCUGGUCUGAGAGGAUGACCAGCCAAACUGGAACGGAGACACGGCCCAGACUCCUACGGGAGGCAGCAGUGGGGAAUAUUGCACAAUGGGCGCAAGCCUGAUGCAGCCAUCCCGCGUGUAUGAAGAAGGCCUUCGGGUUGUAAAGUACUUUCAGCGGGGAAGCGGUACCCGCAGAAGAAGCACCGGCUAACUCCGUGCCAGCCGCCGCGGUAAUAC